CGGGAAUUGCAGGGAGGAGCUUCUCCGCCAUUGCUGCCCCGAGGCGGCCGCGCUGCUGGGAGACGGCGGCGGCUCCUCGCUCCUCUUUCCUCCGAACAGAUAGAAUAGAAGGCCUCUUCCUGUAGAAGCUACAGGUUUCUCCUGUCAUGGGAUUCCUCUAUGGCCUCACAACAUAAUUUUGAAUGCUCUGUCAAGAGAUGGACUCCACUGUGACUGGACAGGAGCUACCAUGAUCCAUCUGGUGUCCUGCUUCCAGCUGGAGGAGUGCAACUCUCAGUAUAUUGGCUCUGGCCUGAGCACACACUGCAGGUAACUGUGUUAGCCUGGAGACUGAGGCACAGCCAGGAAGAAAUCCUGCUGUGCCCUGGGGCAGACAGACAACCCCACUGGGACACUCAAUCCCUGACCCAGGUUCCUCAGAUUAGUCCAAGUGAAUGAGAAUGAAAAUUAGGACAAAACUGACCAAACAUCAGAGAGUCUGGCAGUAAUUUAGGCAGACACUAAGGUGUAAAAGGGGUGAUUCUCCUUUAUUACGUGGGGAUAACCACUGGCCAUGCUGACACGGGCUGUGCAGGGAUUGACAGCUUGGAGUCUCCAUGUCAGUAGGCUGCACAAAGCCUUAAUUUUGCUUGUGCAAAAUUAACUCUCAAAAAUAUUUUCUUUUUCUUCUAGUGUAAUUAGACAAGUUAUUACAGAACUAGUCAUGUUGCUCAUCACUCUCGGCAAAAAUCCAUCUCUGUUUUUAGCAGGGCUUCUACAUUUCAUAUGCUAGUGCUCUGGGAUGCUCAUCUCCCUAGGAAGAUGAUGCAAAAAAAAGAUUAUUCCUUUCCCUCACAAACACUUCAUCUAAAUAAAGUAGCACUAUCAUGAGCUUUUGCUUUAGGAGAUGAACCAAAUCUGUAUCUCCAAUUUUCAGUAUUUCCAUCAGGACACUUUUAGCUGAUUUAAAAAACAUACCACAGAGACUUUCUAAGUUUUUAUUAAUUCUCCUAAGGAUGUGAAACUACAUGUGCUGGCAGGUCCACUGAGACAUCAGCAACUCCUUCCACUCAGCUAACAGCUUUCCUGAAGAGAAAAGCAGAUCAAUAAAGAGAAAACAAAUUAGAAAAUCACAUUAGUUCAACAGCCUCCUCAAGGGUAUGGUUGUCUUUUGGGAUGGACAGGAGUGUUGGGAGAAACGUCAGGUUGAGAGAUUGAAAGCAGAUGCAGAGGGGAAGAGAAGUGCUAAAUUGCUGACACUCCUGGAGUGAGCAAAGAAGUGGAGUCAUUGUCUCACUCAUUCCUGCCAUCCCCAACCUGUUCCUGCACUCCAGCGUGCCCUGACUGCCUGCCCACAUCACGGGAUGUAGCUCAGGCUCUUCCAACUAAUGCUGCCCAUCUGGAAAAGGUUUUGCCCAUGCUUUUCUCCUAUUGUCUUGAUUAACAGGAAAAGAUGGACGGAUGGACAAACAGAUAAAAAUUUGUAGUCCAUAUACUCACCUGUUGGUUCUGAGUAAAAAAAUAAUCCAUGUAGAUGAACCACCAGGAGUGAAGGAUAAACACUGGACAUUAAACAUGAGACUGACUGGCCAUUAAAUAAAAGAUGUCAUAUACAAGAAGUGUUAUUUCAGAAUUCAGAUUGCUUAGAACUCUUUUUUUCUUUUCCAUAACAUUGAAACGUUUGAGUUCCUGUAAACAGGUUGUUUGCUCUUCCUUUUGGUUUGUCUAUCUUCAGAAGUGUUCUAAUACUUCAAUAAUAUACACACUGCUACUUUAUACCCACAGAUGCUGGUAAGAAGUUUAGAAAAGUAACACACAAAUAAAAUAUUCUAAAUUAAAACCAAGAAAAUUAAGCUAUAUGGUGUGGAAAAGAUAAAUUUGUGUAAGCAUUACAUGGACAACCUUGAAUAUAGAAUAUUUCCUCAACCCAAGCACACUGUAAUGCAUUAAUCCUAUUCUAUGUAUUUGUAUGCUGCUGUCAUAUCUACAAGGAUUCUAUGUAAAUUUUGCCAUAAUAAAAAUUUAUUCUAUAUA